rnacentral:rRNA from 1 species
UACGUAGGGCCCAAGCGCUAUCCGGAUUUACUGGGCGUAAAGAGUUGCGUAGGUGGCAAUGUAAGUAAAUAGUGAAAUCCUGGGGCUCAACCCCUUCAACAUUAUUUAAACUGCAUAGCUAGAGUAUGGGAGAGGUAGAUGGAAUUUCUAGUGUAGGAGUGAAAUCCGUAGAUAUUAGAAGGAACACCGAUGGCGUAGGCAGUCUACUGGCCCAUUACUGACACUAAGGCACGAAAGCGUGGGGAGCGAACGGG